rnacentral:lncRNA from 1 species
AAGAGUUGCUGAUUCCUCUUUUCUAUGAGCCUUUCCGUGUAGAUCAAUGGACAUUGAAUUGUGUUUAAACCCCAGCUACUGUUUCUAUUUUCCAUGAGCCAUUUUCGUUCUUCUUAAAUGCUAUAAAUGUGCCGUCCAUUUGAGGGAGUGUAUGAGUAGCAUUUAGAAACGUCUUGCAUCAAUUAAUGUUAUCAUUUAUCAAGGGGCCGAAUUAAAGAACCUAGCUGCUGUUUUUGAGUUUAUUUAGGUGCCUUUUCGUGGAGAUUAAAGGUAUGACUCCUCACAUUAAUUCGGCAGCUCAUUUCUCUUCCCUAAGCUGUCCUUUGAGCUCACCCAAGCAACCAUAAGAGCUUUCUCACCAGUUGGAUGAAUUUAGCCUAGUGUAAACAAUUCUAUUUAGCCAUUUCAGCUCAACCAUCACUUCAUUAAUUCAAGGCUAUUAGAAGACAUCAAAAGGCAGUCCAUUGACGUCUCCAAAGCUAGGAAUCUUCAAGGAAGCUUCAAGGGACGUUCUAGGAAGCUACAUGGAAGUUUCAAUUCAUUGUGCUAAAAAUAAGCUGACUUUUUAGUUGCUCAAGUGUCCAUUCGGCUAGCCUAGGAAUUUAGCUAUAAGUAGUUUGCUUUGUAAUCGUUUUGUGGUUAGACAAUAUACUUUUGAACCUGUUAUGAAUUUUGAUUACUUUGUGAGUUUGUUUUCAACUCUCAUUGUUCUUCAAAGACUUGUCUGACUUAUCAAGUAACCCUUGUGGCAUCAACCCGUCUUUGUUUUUCCGAACUUAUCACUUUGCACCCAAAGUGUGGCGUUCAAAUUAUACAGAGGUUCUUAUCAUCCUUGAUAGCGAGUCGAGGUUCCAUUUUAUCUGCUUUCCAUCCAUUCAACAUUUAUCCUACCUAAGUAUUCAUAUAAGUCUCAGGUUAACACAUUUUUAUUGUGUUAGUUCGAUCUUGAAUUCUUAGCUGAAUCCCAUUCAUCAUUUCCAUAAUCAUUCCAAACCCCCAUUGAACCUACCUGAACCAAAAAUAUCAUCUAUCUUUACCUUGUUCCUUGAAACUCUUUCAGUUUACUCAAUUCACGAUCGGGCACAUCAAUGACUCGACUCACAUUCCCGAGCCGAUUCGUAUCAGCAGCUUAAUGAUGAAGAAAAAUCCAGCUGGAUGAAUUUGGUUGUAGGGAGGUGAAUGGCUUUGUCUAAAUUCGGCCAAGGCUUGAAGGACACCUCCAAUAGAUGCCUCUUGGUCGAAUGGUCACCCAGGAAAUUCAAAGGAUUAGCAAAAUUCAUGUAUCUAGACAUGCAUGCAUUCUUGCAUUCAUUGUAACUUGCUGUUCAUGCAUCUAGCUCAUUCAUGAAUGUGUUUGAAUUUGGUAGCCAUUCCUUUUUUAAUGCCAUCCAUGCAUGUGCUGC